rnacentral:rRNA from 1 species
UGGGGAAUCUUGCGCAAUGGGCGAAAGCCUGACGCAGCAACGCCGCGUGCGGGAUGAAGGCCCUCGGGUCGUAAACCGCUUUCAGCAGGGAUGAAAAUGACAGUACCUGCAGAAGAAGCCCCGGCUAAAUACGUGCCAGCAGCCGCGGUAAUACGUAUGGGGCAAGCGUUAUCCGGAUUUAUUGGGCGUAAAGCGCGCGUAGGCGGCUUGUUAAGUCAGGUGUGAAAUCCGGGGGCUCAACCCGCGGCUUGCACCUGAAACUGGCAGGCUUGAGUCUGGUAGAGGAAAGUGGAAUUCCUGGUGUAGCGGUGAAAUGCGCAGAUAUCAGGAGGAACACCAGUGGCGAAGGCGGCUUUCUGGGCCACGACUGACGCUGAGGCGCGAAAGCUAGGGGAGCGAACAG